AAGGAUCAUUAAUAAAACCCGGGCCAGCGCCCGCACGUUUCAUACAACCCAUCUGUGUACCUCUCCAAGUUGCUUCCGUGCGGCAAGGGGCGUGCCAGCCACGCCCCGGGGGCUCCGGCCCCGCCCACGGGAGGACCCAGCGAACUCAUGUUUGAACCUCGCAUGUCUGACAGGCGUCUCCGGACGCGAAAAAUGUAAAUAAGUUAAAACUUUCAACAACGGAUCUCUUGGUUCUCGCAUCGAUGAAGAACGCGGCGAAAUGCGAUAAGUAAUGCGAAUUGCAGAAUUCAGUGAAUCAUCGAAUCUUUGAACGCACAUUGCGCCCUCUGGUAUUCCGGAGGGCAUGCCUGUUCGAGCGUCAGCAACAAACCCCUCAAGCCCAGGCUUGGUCAUGGCGGCGGUGGGUCACUAUUCGGUGGCCCACCCCAGCUGAAAAUCAUAGGCGGAGGUCCCCUCCCCGGCCCCGGACGUAGUAAUAAACCAUUCGCCCAAAGGCCAGGAAGCGGGAACGCCAGCCUCUAACCCCCAAUGCAUUGACUCUCAGAGUUUGACCUCGGAUCAGGUAGGGAUACCCGCUGAACUUAA
rnacentral:rRNA from 1 species